rnacentral:rRNA from 1 species
GUACACAAAAAUGCACAUAUUGUGAGCUCGAUGAGUAGGGCGGGACACGUGGUAUCCUGUCUGAAUAUGGGGGGACCAUCCUCCAAGGCUAAAUACUCCUGACUGACCGAUAGUGAACCAGUACCGUGAGGGAAAGGCGAAAAGAACCCCGGCGAGGGGAGUGAAAAAGAACCUGAAACCGUGUACGUACAAGCAGUGGGAGCCUCUUUAUGGGGUGACUGCGUACCUUUUGUAUAAUGGGUCAGCGACUUAUAUUCUGUAGCAAGGUUAACCGAAUAGGGGAGCCGAAGGGAAACCGAGUCUUAACUGGGCGUUAAGUUGCAGGGUAUAGACCCGAAACCCGGUGAUCUAGCCAUGGGCAGGUUGAAGGUUGGGUAACACUAACUGGAGGACCGAACCGACUAAUGUUGAAAAAUUAGCGGAUGACUUGUGGCUGGGGGUGAAAGGCCAAUCAAACCGGGAGAUAGCUGGUUCUCCCCGAAAGCUAUUUAGGUAGCGCCUCGUGAAUUCAUCUCCGGGGGUAGAGCACUGUUUCGGCAAGGGGGUCAUCCCGACUUACCAACCCGAUGCAAACUGCGAAUACCGGAGAAUGUUAUCACGGGAGACACACGGCGGGUGCUAACGUCCGUCGUGAAGAGGGAAACAACCCAGACCGCCAGCUAAGGUCCCAAAGUCAUGGUUAAGUGGGAAACGAUGUGGGAAGGCCCAGACAGCCAGGAUGUUGGCUUAGAAGCAGCCAUCAUUUAAAGAAAGCGUAAUAGCUCACUGGUCGAGUCGGCCUGCGCGGAAGAUGUAACGGGGCUAAACCAUGCACCGAAGCUGCGGCAGCGACACUAUGUGUUGUUGGGUAGGGGAGCGUUCUGUAAGCCUGUGAAGGUGGCCUGUGAGGGUUGCUGGAGGUAUCAGAAGUGCGAAUGCUGACAUAAGUAACGAUAAAGCGGGUGAAAAGCCCGCUCGCCGGAAGACCAAGGGUUCCUGUCCAACGUUAAUCGGGGCAGGGUGAGUCGACCCCUAAGGCGAGGCCGAAAGGCGUAGUCGAUGGGAAACAGGUUAAUAUUCCUGUACUUGGUGUUACUGCGAAGGGGGGACGGAGAAGGCUAUGUUGGCCGGGCGACGGUUGUCCCGGUUUAAGCGUGUAGGCUGGUUUUCCAGGCAAAUCCGGAAAACCAAGGCUGAGGCGUGAUGACGAGGCACUACGGUGCUGAAGCGACAAAUGCCCUGCUUCCAGGAAAAGCCUCUAAGCAUCAGGUAACAUCAAAUCGUACCCCAAACCGACACAGGUGGUCAGGUAGAGAAUACCAAGGCGCUUGAGAGAACUCGGGUGAAGGAACUAGGCAAAAUGGUGCCGUAACUUCGGGAGAAGGCACGCUGAUAUGUAGGUGAAGCGACUUGCUCGUGGAGCUGAAAUCAGUCGAAGAUACCAGCUGGCUGCAACUGUUUAUUAAAAACACAGCACUGUGCAAACACGAAAGUGGACGUAUACGGUGUGACGCCUGCCCGGUGCCGGAAGGUUAAUUGAUGGGGUUAGCGGUAACGCGAAGCUCUUGAUCGAAGCCCCGGUAAACGGCGGCCGUAACUAUAACGGUCCUAAGGUAGCGAAAUUCCUUGUCGGGUAAGUUCCGACCUGCACGAAUGGCGUAAUGAUGGCCAGGCUGUCUCCACCCGAGACUCAGUGAAAUUGAACUCGCUGUGAAGAUGCAGUGUACCCGCGGCAAGACGGAAAGACCCCGUGAACCUUUACUAUAGCUUGACACUGAACAUUGAGCCUUGAUGUGUAGGAUAGGUGGGAGGCUUUGAAGUGUGGACGCCAGUCUGCAUGGAGCCGACCUUGAAAUACCACCCUUUAAUGUUUGAUGUUCUAACGUUGGCCCGUAAUCCGGGUUGCGGACAGUGUCUGGUGGGUAGUUUGACUGGGGCGGUCUCCUCCUAAAGAGUAACGGAGGAGCACGAAGGUUGGCUAAUCCUGGUCGGACAUCAGGAGGUUAGUGCAAUGGCAUAAGCCAGCUUGACUGCGAGCGUGACGGCGCGAGCAGGUGCGAAAGCAGGUCAUAGUGAUCCGGUGGUUCUGAAUGGAAGGGCCAUCGCUCAACGGAUAAAAGGUACUCCGGGGAUAACAGGCUGAUACCGCCCAAGAGUUCAUAUCGACGGCGGUGUUUGGCACCUCGAUGUCGGCUCAUCACAUCCUGGGGCUGAAGUAGGUCCCAAGGGUAUGGCUGUUCGCCAUUUAAAGUGGUACGCGAGCUGGGUUUAGAACGUCGUGAGACAGUUCGGUCCCUAUCUGCCGUGGGCGCUGGAGAACUGAGGGGGGCUGCUCCUAGUACGAGAGGACCGGAGUGGACGCAUCACUGGUGUUCGGGUUGUCAUGCCAAUGGCACUGCCCGGUAGCUAAAUGCGGAAGAGAUAAGUGCUGAAAGCAUCUAAGCACGAAACUUGCCCCGAGAUGAGUUCUCCCUGAGA